CUUAAAAAAUGUACAUAUCAGUGUACUGCAAAAUACACACAUAACAUUCAUAGUUUGCAGUUCACUGAUUUACUUAUUUUCAUGCCUUAUGGUUUAUUCAAAUGAUUUUCUUAAAGUGGUCACAAGUACAAAAGUCCUCUGAAUUGAAAAGCCACAAGAGUUAAUCUAGAACCGACUGAAAAAAAGGAAAAAGUCAGAGAAUUAGACACUGACUCGCUCGUUUUCAUGCCCUUUUGGUUUGUGGAAUUGUUUUUCCUGAAAUAAUUGUAUGGACGAAAUUCAUGCGAACUGAAAAUGAACAAAUUCCGCACCAC